UGACCUACGGGAGGCAGCAGUGGGGAAUAUUGCACAAUGGGGGAACCCUGAUGCAGCGACGCCGCGUGAGUGAAGAAGUAAUUCGUUAUGUAAAGCUCUAUCAGCAGGGAAGAAAAUGACGGUACCUGAGUAAGAAGCCCCGGCUAACUACGUGCCAGCAGCCGCGGUAAUACGUAGGGGGCAAGCGUUAUCCGGAUUUACUGGGUGUAAAGGGAGCGCAGGCGGCACGGCAAGCCUGAUGUGAAAGCCCGCGGCCCAACCGCGGGACUGCA
rnacentral:rRNA from 1 species